ACGAACGCUGGCGGCGUGCUUAACACAUGCAAGUCGAACGGAAAGGCCCUGCUUUUGUGGGGUGCUCGAGUGGCGAACGGGUGAGUAACACGUGAGUAACCUGCCCUUGACUUUGGGAUAACUUCAGGAAACUGGGGCUAAUACCGGAUAGUAGCUCCUGCUGCCUGGUGGGGGUUGGAAAGUUUCGGCGGUUGGGGAUGGACUCGCGGCUUAUCAGCUUGUUGGUGGGGUAGUGGCUUACCAAGGCUUUGACGGGUAGCCGGCCUGAGAGGGUGACCGGCCACAUUGGGACUGAGAUACGGCCCAGACUCCUACGGGAGGCAGCAGUGGGGAAUAUUGCACAAUGGGCGGAAGCCUGAUGCAGCAACGCCGCGUGCGGGAUGACGGCCUUCGGGUUGUAAACCGCUUUCGCCUGUGACGAAGCGUGAGUGACGGUAAUGGGUAAAGAAGCACCGGCUAACUACGUG
rnacentral:rRNA from 1 species